UCGCUAGGGGAGCCGGUUGGCGGCUGAGAGAAAGAUUUUUCGACCCUUUGAACCUGAUCUGGUUAAUACCAGCGUAGGGAAGCACG
rnacentral:ncRNA from 1 species